rnacentral:rRNA from 1 species
CCUACGGGUGGCAGCAGUGAGGAAUAUUGGUCAAUGGACGAGAGUCUGAACCAGCCAAGUAGCGUGAAGGAUGACUGCCCGAUGGGUUGUAAACUUCUUUUAUAAAGGAAUAAAACGAGGCACGUGUGCCUUUUUGCAUGUACUUUAUGAAUAAGGAUCGGCUAACUCAGUGCCAGCAGCAGCGGUAAUACGGAGGAUCCGAGCUUUAUCCGGAUUUAUUGGGGUUAAAGGGAGCUGAGAUGGGUUGUUAAGUCAGUUGUGAAAGUUUGCGGCUCAACCGUAAAAUUGCAAUUGAUACUGGCAGUCGUGAGUACAGUUGAGGUAGGCGGAAUUCGUGGUGUAGCGGUGAAAUGCUUAGAUAUCACGAAGAACCCCGAUUGCGAAGGCAGCUUACUAAACUGUGACUGACAUUGAUGCUCGAAAGUGUGGGUAUCAAACAGGAUUAGAUACCCGAGUAGUC